rnacentral:rRNA from 1 species
AGCCAUGGGCAGGUUGAAGGUUGGGUAACACUAACUGGAGGACCGAACCGACUAAUGUUGAAAAAUUAGCGGAUGACCUGUGGCUGGGGGUGAAAGGCCAAUCAAACCGGGAGAUAGCUGGUUCUCCCCGAAAGCUAUUUAGGUAGCGCCUCGUGAAUUCAUCUCCGGGGGUAGAGCACUGUUUCGGCUAGGGGGCCAUCCCGGCUUACCAACCCGAUGCAAACUGCGAAUACCGGAGAAUGUUAUCACGGGAGACACACGGCGGGUGCUAACGUCCGUCGUGAAGAGGGAAACAACCCAGACCGCCAGCUAAGGUCCCAAAGUCAUGGUUAAGUGGGAAACGAUGUGGGAAGGCCCAGACAGCCAGGAUGUUGGCUUAGAAGCAGCCAUCAUUUAAAGAAAGCGUAAUAGCUCACUGGUCGAGUCGGCCUGCGCGGAAGAUGUAACGGGGCUAAACCAUGCACCGAAGCUGCGGCAGCGAACGUAUCACUUAAAGCGAUUCAGCGGGUUACGAUUGACGGAGCGAAGCGACGUCAAAGCGUAUACAAAGUCGAGUCGGUUUAAGGAUACGUUCGUUGGGUAGGGGAGCGUUCUGUAAGCCUGUGAAGGUGUGUCGUGAGGCAUGCUGGAGGUAUCAGAAGUGCGAAUGCUGACAUAAGUAACGAUAAAGCGGGUGAAAAGCCCGCUCGCCGGAAGACCAAGGGUUCCUGUCCAACGUUAAUCGGGGCAGGGUGAGUCGACCCCUAAGGCGAGGCCGAAAGGCGUAGUCGAUGGGAAACGGGUUAAUAUUCCCGUACUUGGUGUUACUGCGAAGGGGGGACGGAGAAGGCUAUGUUGGCCGGGCGACGGUUGUCCCGGUUUAAGCGUGUAGGUGUGUGUUCCAGGUAAAUCCGGUUCACUUUAACACUGAGGCGUGACGACGAGGCACUACGGUGCUGAAGCAACAAAUGCCCUGCUUCCAGGAAAAGCCUCUAAGCAUCAGGUAACAUCAAAUCGUACCCCAAACCGACACAGGUGGUCAGGUAGAGAAUACCAAGGCGCUUGAGAGAACUCGGGUGAAGGAACUAGGCAAAAUGGUGCCGUAACUUCGGGAGAAGGCACGCUGACACGUAGGUGAAGUGAUUUACUCAUGGAGCUGAAGUCAGUCGAAGAUACCAGCUGGCUGCAACUGUUUAUUAAAAACACAGCACUGUGCAAACACGAAAGUGGACGUAUACGGUGUGACGCCUGCCCGGUGCCGGAAGGUUAAUUGAUGGGGUCAGCGCAAGCGAAGCUCCUGAUCGAAGCCCCGGUAAACGGCGGCCGUAACUAUAACGGUCCUAAGGUAGCGAAAUUCCUUGUCGGGUAAGUUCCGACCUGCACGAAUGGCGUAAUGAUGGCCAGGCUGUCUCCACCCGAGACUCAGUGAAAUUGAACUCGCUGUGAAGAUGCAGUGUACCCGCGGCAAGACGGAAAGACCCCGUGAACCUUUACUAUAGCUUGACACUGAACAUUGAGCCUUGAUGUGUAGGAUAGGUGGGAGGCUUUGAAGUGUGGACGCCAGUCUGCAUGGAGCCGACCUUGAAAUACCACCCUUUAAUGUUUGAUGUUCUAACGUGGACCCGUGAUCCGGGUUGCGGACAGUGUCUGGUGGGUAGUUUGACUGGGGCGGUCUCCUCCUAAAGAGUAACGGAGGAGCACGAAGGUUGGCUAAUCCUGGUCGGACAUCAGGAGGUUAGUGCAAUGGCAUAAGCCAGCUUGACUGCGAGCGUGACGGCGCGAGCAGGUGCGAAAGCAGGUCAUAGUGAUCCGGUGGUUCUGAAUGGAAGGGCCAUCGCUCAACGGAUAAAAGGUACUCCGGGGAUAACAGGCUGAUACCGCCCAAGAGUUCAUAUCGACGGCGGUGUUUGGCACCUCGAUGUCGGCUCAUCACAUCCUGGGGCUGAAGUAGGUCCCAAGGGUAUGGCUGUUCGCCAUUUAAAGUGGUACGCGAGCUGGGUUUAGAACGUCGUGAGACAGUUCGGUCCCUAUCUGCCGUGGGCGCUGGAGAACUGAGGGGGGCUGCUCCUAGUACGAGAGGACCGGAGUGGACGCAUCACUGGUGUUCGGGUUGUCAUGCCAAUGGCACUGCCCGGUAGCUAAAUGCGGAAGAGAUAAGUGCUGAAAGCAUCUAAGCACGAAACUUGCCCCGAG